GGGUCAGUAGGUUGGUCGUGCCACCGGUACGUACUGGUCUCACUGAUUCCUCCUUCCUGUAGAACCGUAAUGCCAUUAAUUUGGUGUUGCGGGGAAACAGGACUGUUACUUUGAAAAAAUUAGAGUGUUUAAAGCAAGCUAACGCUUGAAUACAUUAGCAUGGAAUAAUGAAAUAGGACGAUCGAUCCUAUUUUGUUGGUCUCUAGGAUUGACGUA
rnacentral:rRNA from 1 species